AUUGAACGCUAGCGGGAUGCCUUACACAUGCAAGUCGAACGGAGUGGCGAACGGGGGAGUAAUGUAUCGGAACGUGCCCCGUAGCGGGGGAUAACUACGCGUAAGCGUAGCUAAUACCGACUCCUCUUGGAACGGGCUGUAUCGGAUUAGCUAGUGGGUGGGGUAACGGCUCACCAAGGCGACGAUCCGUAGCUGGUUUGAGAGGACGACCAGCCACACUGGGACUGAGACACGGCCCAGACUCCUACGGGAGGCAGCAGUGGGGAAUUUUGGACAAUGGGGGAAACCCUGAUCCAGCCAUCCCGCGUGUGCGAUGAAGGCCUUCGGGUUGUAAAGCACUUUUGGCAGGAAAGCGGUACCUGCAGAAUAAGCACCGGCUAACUACGUGCCAGCAGCCGCGGUAAUAC
rnacentral:rRNA from 1 species